rnacentral:rRNA from 1 species
AACGAACGCUGGCGGCAUGCCUAACACAUGCAAGUCGAACGAAGCCUUCGGGCUUAGUGGCGCAUGGGUGCGUAACGCGUGGGAAUCUGCCCUUGGGUUCGGAAUAACAGUUAGAAAUGACUGCUAAUACCGAAUGAUGUCUUCGGACCAAAGAUUUAUCGCCCAAGGAUGAGCCCGCGUCGGAUUAGCUAGUUGGUGAGGUAAAGGCUCACCAAGGCGACGAUCCGUAGCUGGUCUGAGAGGAUGAUCAGCCACACUGGGACUGAGAUACGGCCCAGACUCCUACGGGAGGCAGCAGUGGGGAAUAUUGGACAAUGGGGGCAACCCUGAUCCAGCAAUGCCGCGUGAGUGAUGAAGGCCUUAGGGUUGUAAAGCUCUUUUGCCAGGGAAGAUGAUGACUGUACCUGGAGAAUAAGCCCCGGCUAACUUCGUGCCAGCAGCCGCGGUAAU